rnacentral:lncRNA from 1 species
UUGCAACUAAUUGCAGGAUUUAGAUCAGAAAUUCAUUUAAAGUUUAAUGAAAUGAUGAAUUUUUUUUUUGCCUUUAAUCCAUGUCAGAUAAAAUAUACUUAUGUGACAUUUGAUUUUCUUGAUUACUUUACUGGCUGAAACGAACAUGUUCAUAUACACAAUAGAUGAGUACUUCUGCGGUUGAAGUUAGUGGUGAAAAAGUCAAAGCAUAGUGGGAUAAGAGAUUGACAGAAAUAUUUUAUGAUAUUUAUAUUAAAGAGAUAUUGAAAGGCAAUAGGUCUGGUACUCAUUUCACAAAAGAUAGAUGGUUGUAUAUAAUGACCAAUUUCGAGAAAGAAACAUGCAAGGCUUAUUCACAAAGACAACUUAAAAAUAGAUGGGAUGUCCUGAAGAAAGAAUGGAAGGCUUGGAAGAAACUUAAAGAUGGAGAUACUGGUCUAGGAUGGAAUCCUAUAAAAAGAACUGUUGAUGCAUCAGAUGAUUGGUAGGAAAGUAGGCUAAAGGUACAUUACUAAUUCUAGAUAUUUUUGUUUUUUCUUAUUUAUGAGGUUAUUGAUAAUUUCUUUUAUUAAACUACUAUUUCAUUUGUAGGUUGUGCCUUAAGCUAAAAAAUUUAGAACAUUGGGCAUUAAUCUUGAAUUCAAAGGGAAGUUGGACCAAAUGUUCAUAGGAGUAGUUGUAAUAGGUGAUAAAGCAUGAGCACUUUCUUCUGGUACACUCCGUAAUUUUUUGAGGAUGUUGACAAUGACAUACCUGAAGAGAAUAAGGAAGAAAAUGUGAGAAAUGAUGUUCAUAUUUUAAAUGAUGUUAACAUUUCAAAUGAUGUUCACAUUGAUGGAAACAGUCAAAAAAGGAAAACACCUGAUAUAUCAACUUCAUGUUUUAAAACUGGAAAGAAGAAAUCCGCAAAGCAAAUUGGAGAGCCUGCAAGAUUGUCUAGUCAAAUAGAAAAAUUAUGCAAUGUAGUUGACAAUAUGAGUCAAGCCACAUCUAGUUUGAUUCCUGUUAUGGAUCUGUAUGGUAAUCCACAAGCAGUCAAAGUGUUUGAUAGCAUGUCAGAGGAAAUUCCAGAAGCUAGUCCGCUAUAUUUUUUCUCAUUGAGAUUAUUACUCAAAAAGGACAAGCGAAUUAUAUUUUUAUCAAUUAAUCCCAAGAUGAGAGUUUUGUGACUUAAGAUAGAAAUAGAGGAUAGUUGAAAAUUUUCUAGUCUUCUAGGGUCUAGAAAUAUCUACUAUGUGACUAAACAACUAUGUUAAACUAGUUUUAUCAAUAGUUAUUUAUGUUUGGUUUCUGGAUAUUGAAUUUAUAUUCUACUUAUUUAUGUAUAAUCUAGUUUUAUCAAUAGUUGUUUAUAUUUGAUUUUGGAUAUAAAACUUGUUCACAGGUGAUGAGUGUGGUUGACAAUUUCAGCAGUGAUAAAAGUGAUGAUGAAAGGGAAAAUAAAGAGAUAUUACAACGCAUGAAAUGUUUUAACUGAUUAUUAGUUGUUACAUCUUCUUCCGUGCAAUUAUAUUAUGAGAAGUAUUUAUUGAAGCAACCAUGCAUGGAUUCAAAACAGUCAGGUGAAGGAUGGAUCCAAGAGAUCUUUAAUGGUCAUGAAUCACAUUGUAUGAUUAAUUUUAGGAUGUCUAAAAUUGUAUUCACAAGUUUGUUGGUAGUUUCGGAGACAAUAUAAACUUGUAAACUUUAAGACGCAUAUCUUCUCAUGAAAUGUUGAAAAUUUUUUUGUACAUCUUGGGCACUGGUGCAAAAGUUUUCCAAUGUCGAGAAAAAUUUCAAAGAUUUAGAGCGACAAUAAGUCGAUACAUUACAAUUGUACUUGAGAAAGUUUCAAAGAUGGCGAUUGAUCUAAUUGCACCCAAAGAUCAUUUUUUAGCUCAAUACCCGAACAAAUAUGUAAUGAUUCUAGAUAUAUGCCGCAUUUUAAGGUUAAAACUGAAUAUUAUAUUAUUAUAUUUUAAUAUUUUUGGUCGAUUAAAAAUAUGUAUAAAACUAAUAUGAUUAUUUGUUCAGGAUUGCAUAGGUACAAUUGAUGGUACUUAUAUUGCCACUAUUCUUCCAUCAAAUGAACAAAUUUCCUAUAUUGAAAGAAAAUGUGUCCCGACUCAGAAUAUUAUGAGAGUAUGAUUUUAAUAUGUGUUUCACCUUUGUUAUGACUGGACGGAAAGGACCGACGCAUGACACUAGAAUAUUUCUUGAUGCAAUUCAAGAUUCAAAAUACAAAUUUCCGCACCCACCAAAUGGUAAGAUAUUUCAUUUAUUUCUCUUUUUUUUAAAUAAUAAAGUAUAAGCUCUUUAAUUGAUAAUUUUAAAAAACAAACAAUUCUUGAAUUAAUUGUUUGUUAUAUUAUGACAUGUAAAAAAAUAUUAUCUUGUUGAUUCUAGAUAUCCUCAAAUGAAAGGUUAUCUUGGACCAUAUAGAGGUCAACGAUAUCAUUUACUUGACUUUCGUAGAGGUAGAAUGAUAUCUAGUAAAGAAGAGAUAUUAAACUAUUCACAUUCAUCAUUACGCAGUGUGAUUGAAUAAAAUUUUGGUGCUUUGAAAAGAAAUAGGCCAUUUUAAGGGAUAUGCUAAGUUAUAGUUUUAAAAAACAAACGAUGAUCGUUGUUGCUAUAAUGGCGAUACACAAUUUUAUUUGAAAAUUUAUCGGUUAAAAUUAUGCAAGUUUUAUGGAAUACAAAAACAUUAACAGGGCAUAUGAGAAUAUUAUUGAUCCAGAAGAUGUGCAUGAUGGAUAAAGUGAUGAUGAUGAUGAUGGUGGUGGUGAAUCAAACAAUUGAAGUGAUUUUGAAAUAGAAUUAACAAGAGAUGCUAUAACUUCUAGUUUAAUGAAUUCACUUUAAAUUGUAAAUGCUAAUGUAAAAUUAUGAUGUAUUUGGUAUAUAAAUAUUACUCCUUUUUGAAACUUUAAUCCAAACGCAUACAAUAUUUUAAUUUGUUAGGUUUAUCUUUUCUAUGUUAUAUUAAUAUCUAUUAUGGGUUAUAUAUUCAAAUUACAUUUUAAAAUAAAAUAAUACAAAUGUGCUAAAAUCAUUAAUUAAAAAUUAAAUAAAAUAUUUUUAAAAAUAAUACAACUGUGUUCAUAUCUAAAUACAAAUAUUUAAUGAUUAUAUUUAAAUAUUUAAAAUAUAGUUUAUAUAUUCUAAUUAAAUUUUAUAAAUAAUUAAUAUUCAUUAAUUAAUAUUCAUUACUUAGAAAUAUUUAAAAUUAAUAUUUCAUAUAUUAAAACAUUAACAAUAAGUUAUAAUAAAUUAUUUGUUUAUACUUUUGCUAAAAUAUCAUAAUAUUAACUAAUUUGAACAUUAUUUAAAUGCAUAUUUGUUACUUUAUAAUACCAUGUCUAAAAUGGACAUUUUAUUUCUCAAAAGUACUUUUUGACAACAAUACUAAACACUCAUAUCUUAAAUCAAACUUUUCAAAAGUAUUUCUCAAAAGCACUUUUCUACUGCACUUUUUAAAAGCACUUUUCAAAAGCAAUGCUAAACUAACCCUUAGUGUAACAUCCCUAACCCAUCUCUUUUGUCAGAUUUGGGUUACGGAGUAUUACUAUAUAAUUUGAAACAUUUAACUUCAAAGAGAAAAAAUUAUUCAAAUUAAAUACUAACAUUCAAAUAAACAUUUUAUUUAAAGUAAAAAAGCACUUAUGGGAUUUGAACCGAGCCUACGGGGCCUUAAAAAUAAUUUGGGAACAUUCAAGAACCAUUUUGAAAUAAUUUUUUAAAAAAAAAUUAAUAAAUUUUGGAAACAAAUGUCACAUGGCCGAGUGACAUAGCCUAGGUCGUGUGGCUUGAAGACAUGGCCAUGUGAUCAAUCGUGUACAAUUCGAAGUAUGAGACACACGGUCGUGCCCUAGCCCGUGUGCUAGACUGUGUGCAUUCGAAGUUAGGUCACAUGGCCAUGUCACCAGGCUGUGUAACUGAUCUGGCGUAAUUUGGUGUAGCAGAUUAAACUAAUUUUCGCACUUAAGAAGCCUGAAUACAAGCAUUUUUGCUAUAUUUUAGUUAAGUUUCUUUAGUUUUACUUACAUUCAAUAAAAUGUGUAAAUUGAGUCUUUUAUUGACCGUAAGGGACAAAUGAGGCCUAACGGAGAGCUAACGUACCUUGUGAGUGUGUAGAAGACCAUUAGAAGACAUUUUAGACCAAUAUUGGAUGCUAUGUCGUAACACGAGAAGCCCGAUGUCGCAACACAGAGAGUAGAAUGGAGAAAGUAUGAAACUGUCUUCAAUGUUGCGACACAGCCUGAGGGUGUCGCAACAUACCCCUGAAGACUUCUCAAUGAGGGUAUAUUGCCACCUCUGUCGCAAAACAUGUUCGGUUGUGUCGCGACAUCGACUUUGGGACAAAAAUUAAACAUGAAGCAAGGGCGUUUUGAUUUGCACAAUCAAACCUAAAGCUCGAUGAGCCCGUGGAAGCACAAAAGGACUUGUAAUUCGUAACCCAAGCCGACAAUCACAUUCAAAAGGUGGGAGCUCCCAUAAAAAAAUAUAGCUUGGGUAAAGGCAAGGCACCUAUAGAGCAAUGGUGCUCCCAUCCUCUUGAUGAUUCGAAGGAGGAUUGAUUUUUAUUUUUGUUAUUUUUAAAAGACUUGUAUUAAUUUUUAGAUACUUUUAAUUUUAACCUUGUAGGAGUAUGAUAAUAUCAGUUUUUAUAUAGUAGUUUGUUUAAGUUUUCUCUAUAAGAACCCAACACAAAGGAGACACAAGCAAUUCAAGCUUAACACGAUCAAAGGAGGAAGCACCCACCAUUAGUAAUUGGAGUGACCACGAUCAAUCGAGUAACUUCUUUCCUUAUCUGUUUAUGGACUACAUAUUAAGGACAACGUGUCAACUAAAGUGUGGUGGGGGGAGAGAGGUAACACAGAAAACAUGUUUAUUUUCAAUUUCUACAUUUUCUUUGAUUUUUUCUUGUCUUUGGUGUGCUUGAGCUUGUAGAAAUAGAAGUGAUUGGUUAGGAGUAUGUACAUAGGUUGCUUGUGUUUAUGAAUAAAUUUGGCAUGAUGGGAGGUGAUUUUAGAUUUUUUAGCAUUAGACUACUAAAGUUCUAUAUGUUACACUGUAAACAAGCAUUAAACAAUCAACUGUACCAAGUGAUGUAGAAAAUAUAAGGAAACGAGCAUCCUAAUACGAAUGAUAAAUGAUUGAAUUUGUAUUUGUUUGGUUGAUUAAGUUUGUGCAUGUGGAGAUAUUUAGGGAUGACCUAAGACAUUGUCUAGAACACAUCUAGAGCUAAAAAACUAUCAUAUUUAUAUUUCACGUUUAGUACCGAUCUUUAAGCUUGUUGACAUUUGUUGAUGAACCCCAUUACAAACCACUAAGCUUUAAAUGUUAAUUUUUAUUUACCCUUUUUCUUUGGUCCCACACUGCACGACUAUAGACAUCUAGCCAUACGUAUUGAGGGUUAAGUAGACACAUCACGACAAAAUUAGAAGAAAUGAAGUGAAAUAAGAAAGAUUGGUGUGAUAUAGGAACAUAUAAGUUAGCCUAAUGUGCGAAACAAAAAGAAAAAUCCAAAAAGGAAAUUAGUACGAGUAGAAAACAAAAUCUUAAAAUAGUGAAAAAACCAUUCAUGAGUGAGAUGUAUUGAAAAAGUGAAAAGUGACAGUCAUGAAAGAAAAACUUGUUUAUUAGUGCAAAAAAACUUGUAAGGCUAACCAAUAGUUACUAUGAAUUCUUAUAUAUGGAGAGACAAGGAAGGUGAGAAAAGAAGAAAUAAGGCGGUAAGUGGGUAAGAGUCACUAAGGGGGAAGAAUAGGAAUCAAUAUGAUGUGCCAAACUAUUUUCGUGUUUGUGAUCCUUUUGAUACUUAAUAUUUUUGAAUUCCAUACAUGUCCUAAGCCUUAGAACGUUACAAGCCGAAAACCUUAUGUGACCUAAACAUCCUUAUGCAUGAAUGGACGUCAUACUAAACAUACACAUAAACGACCAUUUGUAUUUUGCUCGGAUAAUCAAAGUGCUUGUACGAUUUAUUGAUGGAUUCCUAUAGGUGAGACCCUUAAUAUUUGUAUAUUUUUGUAACAUAUUGAAAUUAGAUGUUUGUGAUCAAAAGUGAUAAGUCAUACUAAUCAUAAUUGCAAUACACCUAAACUAGGUCUAGUAAUUUCGAAUAUAUUUUUCGGGUUCUAAGUGUGAAAUUAAGAAUUUAUAGAGUUUCUAGUAAUUUUUAAUAUAAUUUAAGAGGUUAAUUUCAUCUAAAAUCGAUUAAACAAUAAUCCAUAAAAUUAAAAAAAAUAAUUCUGAAAACUUAAUUUUAAAGACUUAAAAUAAUUAUUAGUGAAAAUUAUCAAUUUGGGUUGAAAAAGAAUUUUAAAAUAAUUUUUAUUGGGAGUAACUUGAAUAAAAUUUAAAUAUUAAUUAAAUAUGAUUUAAUUAUAAAAUAAGAGAAAAUUUAGAGUAUUUAUAUGAAAAAUAAACCUUAAAAUUCAUAAUUUUAGAGGGAAAGUAUUUAAUGGUAAAGUAAGGGAAAUGUGGGAGUGACCAUUAGGCAAAUUUCCCAAUUUUUAAAUUUCUAGUGGGUGGUUUCAAUUUUAAAACUAAUGUAUCUAGCUCACUUUUCACACAUUUUACAUCCGAUUAGAGAGUUUUAAAAUUCUUUUUCUUUGCAUGAUUUUAAAGACCUAUCAUCAGAGAAUAGAUCCAACCAAUUUCCUCUUCAGAAUACUCUCUCAAUUCACCUGAAAUUAUUCUCAAAAGUAGCCAAAAAUAUUCUAAAAUUUUUCAAGUUUCUUGAAUCAAGAUUUUCAAUUAAUGAAUUUAAAGUGAAUCAAAGGUAAUUUUCAAUCCUAAACUUAUUUUUAUGAUGAUUAGAAAUAUUUUUACAUGAUUUGAGAGUCAAUUAAAGGAUUUUUAUCAAUGUCAUCUUUUUUCAAGAACACAUGAUUCUUUAAUGGUGGAUCUCGAAUUUUGAGAGGAAAUCCACAAAUCAAUAAAUGUUCCAACUCAAAAUGGAUCCAUUAAAAGGUUUUUGAUCUCAUUUAUCAAGAUUAAAUAUGAUUUGUGAGAUAAUUUAAAGAAAUCUGAAUUUCACCAUCUUCAUGAAUCGAUUUUCCGAAAUUUUGUGAAAUUAAUUUAAAUAUGAAAUUGAUGCUUAGUAUAAGUGUAUUUAGUCUAGUAUUGAUGAUUGAAAAGUGUUUAGGAGGGCUGGAGAGAUCGAUUUUGUGAGGAUUCGAGUUUUCGACUUGAUGUUAAAAAUCUGGUAAUGUAUCUUUGUGAGAGGAUUUCAAUUUUGUCACGACUUAGGUGGCUAAUGUAAUGCUUCGAAUUCAAGCUAGUCCAUCCUAGUCGGGGGUGUCACAAUGAUAAAGUUGUUAGUAAGCAUGAAAUGCUUAUGUCAUAUGCUCCGAAGGUAAUACUUGUAUGAUAUUUGUUGAAGGGUCGUGACCUUUAUUUCUUAUUUUUGUUUAUGUUGCUUGAGGAGAAGCAAUGACUUAAAGGUGGAGGAGUUUAAUUUGUCGUAAUUCAGUGUAGCAGAUUAAAGCUAGUUUUCACACUUAUGGAUCCUGAAUACAAGCAUUUUCGUUAUAUUUUAGUUAAGUUUCUUUAGCUUUACUUACAUUCAAUAAAAUGUGCAAAUUAAGUCUUUUGUUGACCUUAAGGGCCGAAUAAGGCCUAAGGGGAGAGCUAACGUACCUUGUGCGUGUAGGAGACCAUUAGAUGGCAUUUUAGUCUAAUACUAGACGUAUUUCACAACACGAGAGGCUCGAUGUCGCAAUAUAGAAAGCGAAAUAGAAAAAGUACAAAACUAUCUUCGAUGUCGCAAUAUAGAAAGCGAAAUGGAGAAAGUAUGAAACUAUCUUCGAUGUCACGACACACUGAUGGUGUUGCGACACACCCCUGAAGACAUCUCAAGGAGUAUACUGGCACCUCUAUUGCGACAUAGGUUCUAUUGUGUUGCGACAUCAAUUCUGGGACAGAAAUUAAACAUGAAGUAAGGGCAUUUUUAUCUGUACAAUCAAACCUAAAGGUCGAGGACGUCAGCUACCCUAAGGUUAAGGACGACGAGCACCUAAAAGUUAUAAAUGGACUCAUUUGGUACAUGUUAUAGACAUAAUUUCUUUAGCCUAGAUUAUCUCUGUAAAAUUUAGUUUAAUUUUCUUUCAUUCUUAGGUUUUAGAUUUCUUUUAUUUUUUCUUGUUGAUUUUAAGAGAUCUGAAUUGUGGAAGCAUUCAAACUCUAUGGAUUCACGUUUAAUUUCAAUACAAUUAGGCUCUUUCUUUUACUUUAUCUUGUCGUAACUAGCAUGAUUUCUCUUUAUUUCGAUUUCAUAUUGUCUAUGAAAGUCAUGAGGAACUAAUCUCCUUGUGGGGGAUUACCAAGUGGAGGUAUGAUCUAUUAAUUGUUUUAUAAGGUUACUCAACAGAUCAACUGUUAUGGAAAGGAAGAACGUGAAACAAACACUGGGCCUAACAACCCCGAAAAGUCAUCAAGGUGGAAAUUAACUGAAAAUUGGUAUUGUCCAUUUGUGAACACUUUCACCUCAAACUAGUUUGAACUGUGAGAUCAAAAGAUAAGUAGUUCUUGCUGACUCGUUAUAUUAGUGGAAGAUUGGAAGAUCCUGCUAGGGUAGCGACUAGUUGAUUGACGAGAAACCUGAGGUAACAGUUGAUGAGGAUUAUCGAAGCAAGCUAAUCACCCAUAAUCAAGAUUUCAUUUACUCUUCUAUCUCCUAAUUUUAUUUACUAUAUGUUAUUUUAAUUUCUUAUUCUGAACACUUAAAAAACCCCUCUUUUAUGCUCUUAUAGUAUAAUUUAUUUAAAGUACUAACUAGAUCUUUUAGUAUUUAGGUUAAAAUUGAUCUAGCGCUCGCCUGUAUUAGGUACAAUCCUCGGAGUACUCACCUACUUCGUUGUAAAAAUAUAUUACAACUUGACCCAUAUACUUUCAGAUACUGUCUUUUCGUUCUAUAUUUUAUUGCAGUAUUAUGUCUAGAGGCAACCUUUAACUCUUUUUGACCAUGUGGUUCAUCCUAUACUUAAAAUAAAAAUAUACAACCGUGUGACAACCCGUGUCCCAGGUCGUAUGCUCUCUAAAUUACCCCUAAUGCAAGCCUUACACACCAAGCCAAUCAAUUUCUAGAUACUUUCACAUGAUUAAAUUACAUUCAAGGACACCAAAAAAAUGCCAAAAAUCAUUCAUCCUAUUUCUAACCAAUAUGCUAUCAAUAGGCACCACAAUUCAUACACCAAAUCAACUCAAGUACAAAACUAAAAAUCCACACCUUAAACAUAUAACAAUCAUACCAAAAAGUCAUUUCAUUCUCAGUAUAAACCAUAAUGACUUUAACACUUUCCAUAGGCAUAACCAAAGUGUCCAUAAAACACCUAAUUUUAGACAUUUACAAGCAAAACAAAAAACAUAUAUGCAAGUAGCUACAAGUAAGAUCAAUUCACACCAUAUUGGAAAAAUAGCUCAAAACACCUAUUACAUGUCAUUUAUAACCAUCAACUAAGUAAUAAAAAACUACCAAAGAGAAGGAUGGAUAGUGUGAUUGUACUCCGACGAGAUUCCAAUCGAUCGAGCUUUUCGAUGAUCUACAAGAAAAAGAAAACAACUACAUAGGCAACUAGUACUUAGUAAGCUCGUAUAAAGGAAACUUAAACUUACCGAACAUAUUAUGUUUAAAACAACCAACCAUAAUUUCAUUAAAUCAUAAGCAUAAUUUUGUUUCCUAAACACACUUCACAGGGUUGGUAAGUGUAUAAAUCAACAUAUAAAUCCAACCAACUUAUGGAACAUACCACAAUAAGCAUUCAAUAUAUAUUUCAUCCAUCAUGUAUUUAAAUAAUACCCUUUUCAUUUCAAGCACAUACAUCAACAUUUUUCAUUUCAUCUUGUAAUAACAUUGACCAUUUCAUAUACUUACAUAUUCAGAUUAAACUUUAAUCACCCAUCGAACCAAAUGGAAUAUCAUUAGAUACUCGAGAAUUGCUUACAUAAGCUGUGAUUGGAACAUGUAAUCAUAUAUGCUCACAAGAGCUGUGGGUCGCGAUGUUAAGCUACACGAUGCUGCUCACACGAGCCGUGGGGAAUUGACAACAAAUGUAGGACCCCAGCUAUCGGUAGAACAUCCAAGACCAGCACCCGAAAUCGUAUAACCCCUAAUGACAUGUCAUUUGUAUCUUAAGUUUUCACAAGGCUCAAAUGGGACUAUUGUACAAAUCCAAUUAUUUUAUUUUCAUUACAUAAUGCUAUUCAAACAUGCUUUAAGGAAAUAUACAUUCUCAAAUAUAACAUUCAAUUUAACUAACAUCAUAAUUUGAUCCAAUAUAAAAAUAUCAUACAACUAUCAAUCAAAAUUAUACAUAGCAUAAUAUUUAUUAACAUUACAUUCAAAACAUCAUUUAAUAAGUUUAAUACUUAUAUAAACUUACCUCGACAAAAACGGUUGCAAAAACAAAGUCGACAACUAGUUUGAAACUUUAGUUUUUCCUCAAUUUAAAUUCGAUUAUUGCGUUUCUUGAUCUAAAUAGUAUUUUCAUUCAAUUAAUACUAUUCUAGAACUUAAAUAAGUAAUUUUAUACAGUUAACCCCUUCCAUCAUUAUUUUAAAAAAUUACCCUAAUAUUUUAACUUUUGUAUGAUUUAGUCUCUAAACCUAAAACUUGUAAAAUUACGAUUUUAAAAGAAAAACCAUAGUAGUUGGUUUUCCUAGGGGUCAAUUACAGCCCAUAUCUUUCAUUAAUUCACCCUAUUUUCAUUGGAUUUUAAUAUUUUAACAAUUUAAUCCUUAAAUAUUAAAAUUAUUAAAAAUCACUUAACAAAUUACUUCUUUUUAGCUACCAACCUUAAUAAUCUAUCAACUAAGUUCAAAAACACUUUAAUUUUAUCAAUGGCAAAAAACGUUUAACAAUUUUACAAAUUAACCCUCGGGUUAGCUAGAUUAAGCUAAUAUAGUAACAGAAACAUAAAAAUCAUUAAAAAUAGACUGAAACUUCAUACCAUGCAAUUGAAAUUUCUUUGGUCGAAGCUUGCUCCUCCCUUGGCUAUGGUUUUUCCGUUCUAGGGUGAAAGAAAGGAUGAAAAUGAUGAUUAUUUCAUAUUGUUUUACUUUACUAUUUACCUAAAAUUAUUAUUUUUAAUUAUUCUUCAUCUAUCUGCUCCUUUGUAGUACAUUUCUAAAAUAAGACCUUGGUUUUUCUCUAUUUUUUUUAUUUUUCGCUAGAUCUGGUGGUUUUUUAUUCUUUAGUUUGGGUUUUGUUUGUAUAUGAAGGAAUCUAAAAUAGAGGCUAACAUGGCCAAGUUGCGUAUAUCGGAUGGGAAGAAGGAGAAAGUCCUACAGAUUGAGGGAAUUUUCGAGGGAAAUCACAGGCUGUAUGAUCUAUGCUUUGUGGGUUUCCUUACUGCUAGUGUGGUUUAAUUUCAAGUUAUGUGAAAUACGUUAGCAAAUCUCUGGCAUCCUUUAAGAGACAUUGAGAUCUCGGAUCUAGGGGAGAAGAGAUUUUUGUUUAGGUUUUCUCAUCAGGUUGAUUUCGAGUGAGUGAUAAAAGGGGCGCCCUAGACUUUUAAGAAUCGUCUAUUGAUUUUUCAUCGGUUUCUAAGAAGAAAGAGGGUGAGCAAUUUCUAGCUUAUCAAACUAAUUUAUCGGCAAUCACUUGGGGGCAUGUCGACCGACAUCAAUGAAGAUUAUGAGUUGGAAUGUUCAUGGAUUGAGGAGUCCAUGAGUAUUAAGGAGGCUUCAACAUAUGUUGAAACUUCACAAUUCCUAAGUUGUCUUAUUGAUGGAGUUGAAGUUGGAUUCUGUCAGAAUGGAGAGAGUGUGUCAUCUGAGGGGUUUGUGCAUGGUAUUGAUGUUCCAGUAGUGGGUACGAAGGGGCUUUAGUUUUGGGUGGAAGAUUGAUAUUGACAUUAAUUUGUGAAAUUUUUUUACUAACCAUAUUGAUGUGGAUAUUUAUGGUCCUGAUGAUGGAAUUAAUUUGAGGCUAACAGGGUUUUAUGGCUCUCCUAAUAUGAGAAACUGUAGUACAUCUUGGCAUCUACUUCGAAGCUUAGGGAGGGAUUAGAAUUUGUCGUGGUUGGUACAUUUUACUCUUUUAAAAAGAAAGGGAGUGUUUUGCGUGAUGAUAGAAGGAUAGGAGAGUUUCAACGGGUGUUGAGGGACUUCCAAUUGGAGGAUUUAGGUUUUAAAGGUCCUUCGUUUACUUGCGAGAUGGGUAACUUUGAGCAUAAUAAUAUAAUGGAAAGGUUGGAUAGGGUAGUUACGAAUUUUGCUUGGCGGGUAAAGUUUCCAAAUUUUGUGGUGUGCCACUUGCCUCACUCAUUUGUUGAUCAUUGUCCUCUAUUGUUGGUAAUAGAUAAGGGGGAGGGGAAUAUUCAGAGUAAUCAUUUUCGGUUUGAAGCAUCUUGGACGUUAGAAGAUUCAUGUGAAGCUAAAGUUCGUAAACUUUGGGAGCAGAGUAGGGGUACUCUUCCACAUCGGCUUGAGUUGUUGGGGCAUGGUUUGGAAUCUUGGGCUGAUAGGUUGAGAAAGGAGAAGGGUAGAAGGUAGAGGCAUCUUUGUAGAAAGAUUGAGGAAUUUAACUUGGGCGAAUGGGAUAAUGAUAGCAUUUUCAAUCUUAUGGAGAGUAAAAUUGAUUUGAAUUUGGAGUUAGAGAAAGAAGGAAUGUAUUGGGAGCAAAGAGCACGUGUGAAUUAGUUAAAGCAUGGUGAUCGUAAUAUGAGUUUCGUUCAUCGUAUAACAUUUCAAAGGAAAAGGAUGAACAUGGUGAAAUGGUUGGAUAAGGGAGAUGGUCAUGUAACUAGUGAUGUAGGGGAGGUGAAUGAAAUUGCCAGGGAGUAUUUUAUGGAGUUAUUUACCUUUUAGGGAUUGUGUGAUUCUGAUCAUAUUUUGGGGGGUGUUAAUGGGUGUAUUUUGGAGGACAUGAAUCAAUGCCUCACGACCUGAUAUGAAAGAGAUAAGAUGCUUAUAACAAAGAAAGCAAUGGUGCCCACAAAGGCGUCAGGACCUAAUGGUUUUCCUGCUCUAUUCUUUCAAAAUUAUUGGCAUAUUGUAAGAGAGGAGGUGGGAACUUAUUGUGUUAAUACCGAAAACAUCAAAACCGAAUAAUAUGAAAAAUUUUCACCCUAUAAGGCUCUGCUCGGUGUUGCAUAAAAUUAUCUCUAAAACCGUGGCUAAUCAUUUCCAAAAAGUUCUAAGUUGUUGUAUUGAUGAAGCGCAAAGUGCUUUCAUUCCUAAGAGGUUAAUUAUUGAUAAUAUUUUGCUUGCGUAUGAGAUCUUAGAGGUGUUUAAAUGGAAAAGGAUUGGUAUGAAGGGUUAUUUUCCCCUUAAACUCGAUAUGAGUAAGACAUAUAAUGGGGUGGAAUGGGAGUUCUUGAGGAAGAUGCUUUUGAAGAUGGGUUUUGUGGAAAGAUGGGUUGGUUUUAUUCAUAAUUGUGUGAGCUCAGUAACCUGUUCUGUAAUUCUCAAUGGAGAGGUGAGUCAAAGGUUUUCACCCCGGAGGGGACUUCGUGAAAGAGAUUUGCUUAGCCCGAUUUGUUUUUAAUAUAAAGUGAAUGUUUAUCCUCGAUGCGCGUGGCAAGUCAGAGUAGAUUAAUCAAAGGCGCAAGAAUCGGUAGGGGGACCAAAAAUUUCUUAUAUUCUGUUUGCUGAAGAUUGUAUCUUAUUAGGGGGUUACGUGAGAGAAGCAAUGUUUCUACAAUAGAUUCUUAAAGAAUACAAGGAAGCGUUGGGCCAAUGUGUUAAUUAUGAAAAAUUUGCUAUCUAUUUCAGUUCAAAUGUGGGGGAUGAUAUAAGGUAUGAGAUAUCAAGGUGCUUGGAGGUUAGUAUUUCAACUGACCCUUAAAGAUACUUAGACUUAACUAUUAUGGUUGGAAUGAGUGAAAGGCGGGCGUUUCAAGGAUUGAAGGACCGUAUGCGGUGUCGCAUUAACAAUUGGUGUGUGAAAGCAUUGUCUCAAGGGGAAAAUAAGUUUUUAUAAAGAGUGUUCUACAAGCUAUUCUCACUUUAACGAUGUCUUGCUUUUUAUUACCAACUUCAUUAUGUCAAGAUCUAGAGCAUAUUAUCUCUCAUUAUUUGUGGCAAAAAUUUUAUGGUAAGCAAAGGAUUCAUUGGUGUGCAUGGUCUAUGUUGUGUUCAUUGAAACACCAUGGUGGGAUGGGUUUUCAAGAUCUUAGUAAGUUUAAUUUUGCUCUUUUGGCCAAGUAGGGUUGGCGAUUAAUUAAAGAUCAGAGUUUAUUAUUGGCGCGAUUGUUUAAAGCUAAAUAUUACCCUAAUUUUGAUUUUUUGAAAGCUAGUUUAUGAGUCUACCCAUCUUAUACCUAAAAGAGUAUAUGAUCUACAAAGGGUCUGCUUCUGAGGGCCUGGGCUAGCAAGUGGGCACAGGCACAAGCAUUGACAUAUAAGAGGAUAGCUGGGUCCCUGGUCUACCUAUACAAAAAAUUCAGGCUAUGGAUGAGAACAUACAUUAUAGAAAAACAUCUGAUUUAAUUGUUCAUCAAGAACGGGUGUGGGAUGUGGGAAUAAUUACUAGUUGUUUUGAUCUUGAUGUGGCGAGUAGGAUUCAAUGUAUUCCUCUUGCCUCGCAUCCUCAACCGGAUAUGGUGGUUUGGCGAGUUGAACCCGCAGGUGAGUAUACCAUUCAGAGCAGUUACAGAUUAUUACAAGGAAAUAAAGAGUUAAAUGAAAAUGCAGUGGAUUGUUACAAUAUUUUUUACAAGAAGCUAUGGAAACUAAAAAUUCCAAAAAAGGUUAAAAUCACAGUCUGACGCAUUUCCAAGAAUCUAAUUCCUAAUUCACACAACUUGUACAAUAGACGCUUGGUGGGUUCUACGAUUUGCCCAAAGUGUGUACGGGGUGUGGAGGAUUUGGAGCAUGACUUUCGGGAUUAUCCUUUUGUUGCUGUUGUUGGGACCUAUUGAAUAUUAAAUGGAAUGGUGAAGAGGGCGGUCACAAUUUUCAAGAUUGGUUACUGAGAAUGUUUCAUAACUCUUCGGAAUAUACCCAUAGGCAGAUUUCAUGUAUGAUCUGGUUCCUCUAGUUAGAGAGAAAUAAAUGGGUGCAUGACAGAUCGUUUGCCUCGUCAUAAUAGAUUGUAAGUAAGAUUUCGUCCUAUAUGUAUGAACUUAAUGUAAUUGAGAAGAAAUUACCUGUUACGAAAGUGGGUUUUGAGAGGUGGAGACCACUAGAUGAACCUUUCGUUAAGAUAAAUUUUGAUCCGGCAUUUCAUGUUCUUACUUCAAAUUCCUGUUCAGGGAUAAUUAUCAAAGAUGGUAGAUCUAGAACUAUUGUUGAAAAAGUAACUGUAAAUGGAAACAUACCGUCGGUCUUUGCGGCUGAGGCACUUGCAUGCCUUUAAGCGCUUAGAUUGGGGGUGGAUCUUGGUUUUAAAAGGGUGGUGGUGGAAGGGGAUUCUCUUUCUGUGAUAAAGAAAACGAACUCAAGUUGUGUUGAUAGAUCAGCAUUGGGGCGUAUAUUCAUGACAUUAGAAUUGAACAACGAAAAUUUGGAGACUGUGAGGUUAUUUAUGUCCCCGAGAGGUGAACAUAUUGGCUUAUUUCCUAGUACAAGAGGGAUGGAGAAGGGGAGAUGGUCUAAAUCUGGAAAAUAGUUACCUGGUAGAGAUGGUGGCUUUGAACUGUAGGGGUGUUGGAGAGGACGACGGAGCGGGUGUUGGAAUGGCUUGUGGGUAGUUGAUGUUUUAUUCAAAAGGGUUUUGGUGAUGGGGAUUUUUUAUGAGGGCGAUAAGAACGAUUGGUUUUCUGAAAGCAGGGAUUAAAGGAAAUGGCGGUUUCCAAUGGUUUUCUGACCUACUCCUGUUGUUUGUAGUCUCCCAUGGUCUACACGUGUAUUCAAUAUGGUGCGUGGCUUUUCUGUCUAGGCUGGAGUUGCUUGUUUUGUUUUCUUUUUGCUGCUAUUUGUUUUUCCGAGCUUUUGUUUCAACUGUUUU